UAUUAUUUUUAAUUUAAAUUGGAAGCGCUUAAGUAGUAUUAGUUAUGGUCUUGAAACUUAAAGAAUUUGGCGGUAUUUUAGUCUAUUUAGAGGAAUCUGUUCCGUGAUCGAUAAUCCGCGUUGGACCUUACUUAUUUUUUUUUGUAUUUGUAUACCGCCGUUGUUGAAAAUUUUUUUAGAAUAUUUUAUUGAUUAUUAUUAGUGAGUAUUUCAGGUCAAGGUGCAGUUUAUGAAUAAGGGGAAAUGGAUUACAUUAUUAUUAAUAUGUGGAUUAAUUAAUGAAAAUUUAUUGUGAAAGUGGAUUUAAUAGUAAUUUUAUGAAGAUUGUUAUUUUGAAAAUAGCUCUAUGAUAUGUACACAUCGCCCGUCACUCUCGUUAUGAAGAUGAG
rnacentral:rRNA from 1 species